CCGGGCGGCGUCGGCAGUGGCGCGGGAGGCUGCGAGGCCGGGGCGGCAGGAGCCGGCGCGGCGACCGCGGCGAGAGCGGCGGGGACAGAGCAGACCACGACGAAGGCGCACAGGCAGCCGGGCCGGGCCGGGCCACGGGGAGAGCGGCCAUCAGGAAGCGGGCGGGAGGCUGGACUGGCAGCAGGCAGCCGCCGAGCCGCGAAGCGACAUGGUGCUGCUCAAGGAGUAUCGAGUCAUCCUACCUGUGUCUGUUGAGGAGUAUCAAGUAGGGCAGCUGUAUUCUGUGGCUGAGGCCAGCAAAAAUGAAACGGGUGGUGGUGAAGGCGUGGAGGUCCUGGUGAACGAACCCUAUGAGAAGGACGGCGAGAAAGGCCAAUACACGCAUAAGAUCUACCACUUACAGAGCAAAGUGCCCACAUUUGUUCGAAUGCUGGCCCCAGAGGGAGCCCUGAAUAUACAUGAAAAAGCAUGGAAUGCCUACCCUUACUGCAGGACCGUUAUCACAAAUGAGUACAUGAAAGAAGACUUUCUGAUUAAAAUUGAAACCUGGCACAAACCUGAUCUUGGGGCCCUGGAGAACGUGCAUAAACUGGAGCCUGAGGCGUGGAAACAUGUGGAAGUCGUAUAUAUAGACAUUGCAGAUCGAAGCCAGGUACUCAGCAAGGAUUACAAGGCAGAAGAGGACCCAGCAAAAUUUAAAUCUAUCAAAACAGGCCGAGGACCCUUGGGCCCCAAUUGGAAGCAAGAACUUGUAAAUCAGAAAGACUGCCCGUACAUGUGUGCAUACAAACUGGUUACUGUCAAGUUCAAGUGGUGGGGCCUACAGAACAAAGUGGAAAACUUUAUUCAUAAGCAAGAGAGGCGUCUGUUUACAAACUUCCACCGGCAGCUGUUCUGUUGGCUGGACAAAUGGGUCGACCUGACGAUGGACGACAUUCGAAGGAUGGAAGACGAGACGAAGAGACAGCUGGAUGAGGAACAUGUCAGCGUCCACUGUGGGUAAGGUCUAAUGCCAGGCGAUAUGGGAACUACGAGGAAGAAAGCAGCCUGUGCUCUUGAACUUGCAGUCUAGUCGAGGUCUUGGCAUAUCCAGAGAGACAGAUAUGGCGGGCUGUGCUGAAUGCCAAAUGAGACAAAAGGACCCAGUGAAAGGCAUGACGGCAGACGACUAAAGCCACUCCUCCCCCUCCCGCACCUUUUGCAAGACAGUGGUCACCAGGAAGGCCCAGCAGCUCCAUGCUCCUGAAUGACAGGCCAUCUUCGGACGCAGCCUUUCUGUGCCCAUUCUUCAGGCAACUCUGACCCCUUACCGUAGCUAAUUCUAGAUGCCCUUUACUAUUGUGAACAAAUAGACCGUCUGGUAUUAUGAAGCCCGCGUGAGCGGGAACCUGCCCCUCUGAGAUAUGUGGCGUUGUAGGUGGCUGUAUUUACAGCUCCUCCCUCUCCAACCAUUGUGUUCUUGACCCAUUUCUGUGUGCCCUCCCCCCUCCCCUUUAUUUCCAAGUGACAUUUUUAGUCUUUGAAAAUAGCUACCUUUUGUGAUGUGGUGAUUUAAACGAUUUACUUUGUUUUUAACCUUGGGAUAAACUGAAGUGUUUGGCUUCCUGGGCAGGUCUUUGCAAUUUUGAGUGCUCACAUGGGGAGAGGGGAUGAGGUAGAAAUAGAUUUGUUUUCCCCCCUAGUUCCACAGAACAUCAGUGUGGCUUCAUAACUCUGAUCUCUGCUCCCAGGAACCCACUGUUAGGAGUGCUCUAGGCACCAUGGAAGUACCCAAGGCCCAGCCAGUCUGUUUUGAAAAUUAAACAACAGAUAACCCCUGCCCAGGCAUCGCAUCUCUGGUCACUAGUCUUAGAAAUACCUAUGGCUCCUUGGCCCUCCCGUUGCCCACUCUGUCUGAGUCUCCGCAGAGCCUGUAAUAUGCCCGGGUCAACUCUACCUGGAGGGGACUGUCCCGCGUGGCCCUUAGAAUUGAGUCUGCCCCAUGUAUGCCUAAUAGUGUGCCCACCCCCCACCCCCCUGCUGUCCCCAGGAGCUCUGUAUGUCCACACUCUUCUUCCCUUUCGGGCUGGUGCUGCCACUCAGCAAUAACCCCCUCCUCUCUGUGCUUUCUAGAUUCCUGUCCUCUGUCUGAGGCUGAUCAGGACACAAGGGGUCUUGAUCUUUUCAUGCUGCACAAAACAAGCAUGCAAAAAGCUUUUUCCCAGAACACGUUCCCCCCUCUUCUCCAGUGGCCAGAAAAGAAUUUGGGGAUCAAGAACUCAGCUUGUCUUGCCCCCACGCUGAGUUCUGCCCUGGACAAUCAAGAGCCAGUAGUGAUCGCAGUGGCGAAUUCUACCAAAGUUGGCUGGUGUGAAAGUCCAGGCCUGCGGGGGAGCAGAGGCUGCCGAGGGCUUCCUAGUUGCCUGUGACUUGGCAGCGCUGGAGUACGCCUUCCCAGUGGGAGAAUCUGAGAUAGCCGUGGUGUCACUUGACAUCUCCCAAGCCUUGUGAAGUUUGUUGGCCAAGUGUGCAGUGACUCAAGCUAACGAGAGACCAAAUCUCUGUUGGGAGAGUGAGAAGCAGAAUGGGAUGAUCUGUCCUUAGGUUUUUGUCAGUUUGUUUUGCCUUACUGAUUUCUAAGUGCAAUAAGGGAGUGUCAUGCCUGGGACUUCCUGAUGGCUGCUUCCCUGUGGCCCCCCUGGGGCAAGGGGCGGCGGGGAGACAGGUUCAGCGUGGUUAGCUCCUGCCUUCACUGAGUCCCCUCUGGGACCACGAGAUACCCCAUCACACCUUCCUUUUAGUCUCCACACCUUGUGGGGUCUAUAGUAAUGGAUCUGGGGCAGUUCAGUUGGUUAUUAGCAGCCCAACUGCUGGUCGCAUUUAUUUGACAGGGAAAGUUGAAGUGGCAUUCCUACUGGAGAAAAAUGUAAAUGUUUUCCUACAAGUUCUGUAAUAGCUGUAAUUAUAUUUGUGCUUAAAGCUUUCCCUUCUUUCAUUCAUCAGCUAAGUGAAGUCCAGAUGUGCGUUAGCCUGGGAGAAACAAGCAGUGAUAAUGUAAGCAGACUAUUGUUUACGUGGUUUGAGGGUCAGCAGAUGUUGGUCUCCUUCCUUCAGUUCUUCCCUGAGAUUCAUACAUAUCACUCCAACUUGGGGAGGAGCGGGGCUUGCUCUUUGUGGGCUCUUUCUCUAGCUCCACCCACCUCCACCUGUUGCUCCAGUUCAGCCUCCACGUGAGCCGAACUAGAAUUUUCAGAGGUCAGCUGGAUCUGGGGCUCCAGUCCACAUCAGCGCAGGAGGGAUGAGCCUGUUCUGUUCUGUCCCCGUGGAGAGUGUCGCUGCUGGGCAAUGAUACCUUUUAAGUACCUCCCUUCCCUUCUUACAAACCCUGCCCUAACUGACUAGCACUCAGAGGGGCUUAGGAUGCAAAGCUCAGCUCCAAGGGUAGUCUUUGAGGAUGUGCCAUGCCCCUUCAGACCAGCUGCUUCCGUCAGAUUUCCAGGGCCACAGUCCCAGUUGGAAGCAGCGGUGCCUCUGGGGGAAGAGGGGUGCUGGGCUCUGGCCUUCUCACGGAAGGAUGUAGGGGACAGGGUCAGUAUUGUGGGCACGUGUAUAUCUUCCCCAAUUCUCUUACAGUCCCUGCUGGGACUCCCUGACUUAUUUUGGUUGGUUCCUAGUGCUACUUCUUUUACAAAAACACUUUGUAGACCUGAUUAGAUUACUUUGUUUAUUUAAUGUGAGUUUGUGCCUUUUUGUCUCAAUCUUCCAAUACAGGUAUAUUGGGGGAAAAAAGCAGUCUAAUAAAAUCCUAGACAGAGCUGUCUGGAGUCCA